rnacentral:rRNA from 1 species
AACGAACGCUGGCGGCAUGCCUAACACAUGCAAGUCGAACGAGAUCUUCGGGUCUUGUGGCGCACGGGUGCGUAACGCGUGGGAAUCUGCCCUUUGGUUCGGAAUAACAGUUGGAAACAACUGCUGAUACCGGAUGAUGACGAAAGUCCAAAGAUUUAUCGCCAGAGGAUGAGCCCGCGUAGGAUUAGCUAGUUGGUGUGGUAAAGGCGCACCAAGGCGACGAUCCUUAGCUGGUCUGAGAGGAUGAUCAGCCACACUGGGACUGAGACACGGCCCAGACUCCUACGGGAGGCAGCAGUGGGGAAUAUUGGACAAUGGGCGAAAGCCUGAUCCAGCAAUGCCGCGUGAGUGAUGAAGGCCUUAGGGUUGUAAAGCUCUUUUACCCGGGAUGAUAAUGACAGUACCGGGAGAAUAAGCUCCGGCUAACUCCGUGCCAGCCGCCGCCGUAACAC